AACGCAUAUUGCGCCUGAGCCUUUGGCUUGGGCAUGUCUGCCUCAGCGUCGGUUUAAACACUUGCUUACUGCAACCACUUGUGGUUACAGUGUAGCAGCUAUGGCCUUUGGGUACCGGUAAGGGCCCAUCGGUUGAUGUAUGAAGGGUCAGCCCCACCGCGCACACUUGUCUGCUGUAAGCAGCCAACUGCGUCCGGCUUCAAUGGUCUGGUGGCACUUUGCCUCAUUGCCUUGAAAACGGUAACGCAUGCUACCUACGCAGGCUUGCAGAGUGACCGGUACAGCUGCUACCUUGUAGCGGCUGGUAAGCUGUCCAUUCUGCACCUUUCUUAGAGGUGCCAGAAAAGUUACCAUUAUGGUAAUACUAAACCUUCGACCUGAGUUCAGGCAGGGCCACCCGCUGAACUUAA
rnacentral:misc_RNA from 1 species